GCUAAUUCUCACAGAGAGGGGAGGUGGACUCUGGUUGAGGUGGGGAACAAGCAGCCUGUCCCAGGCUGGCUUCCUGUCUCAAUGGCUAUUCUGUGACAACAGAACAGAGAAGUCAUUUAACUUAUUUGCAUUCCAGUUCCUUCAAGAACUAACCACAGCUAACACCUUUUCUUUAUGUUCUUCUUAGGGCAUUAAACAAACAAAAUAACAACAUCCUUCUGUGUCUCCAGUGGGAUUCUUGUCUGAGCUCCAGGGUGCACGCCUGUAACCCAGCAGCCUGGGAGGCUGAGGAGGGAGGAUCGUGAGUUCAAAGCCAGUCUCAGCAAAAAUGAGGUGCUAAGCAACUCAGUGAGACCCUGGUAUUGAAUAAAAUACAAAAUAUGGCUGGGAGGUGCCUCAGUGGUUAAGUGCCCCUGACUUCAAUCCCGUGUAACAACAACAACAACAAAAAAAAGGAUGGGAUUCUUUUUGAAACCCAUUUAAGGUUCCUCUGAGCCAGAAACCUGAGGCAGUGAGGAAGAGCAGCACUUCCAGCCCAGGAGGAGGAACCGUGUCUGUGGCAGUGUCCGCGGAGCCAGGCUGUGAACAGGACUACAGACAGGAGGAAGGGUCUCCGCAACCCACACACGCUGAACUUCAGACACCAGCCUCUGCAAAUUAGGCUCCUCAAAAUUGUGUUCAAACACCUGGACUACAUGUGUUCUUAGACCUGGUAAAGCCAUAUCAGGAAAUGGGAUCAAUAAAAACACAAAGUGUGUGUGUGUGUGUGUGUGUGUGUGUACACGUAUAUAUGUAUAUGAGAUUAGCCAUUGAGAUCCAAGUCAGCAAAUUCUUUUCUUUAGACAUGGAACUGUAGAUUAACUAACUGCAUUUCUCAGACAGACGUUCCCUGUACAGAAGCAUUGUUAUACCUUCAAUUUUCCCCUAGCAGGUUCUCUAUGGAAUUAUUUAUUCCAAACCAGCUGAUAAUUUUGAAUGCCAUGUUUUAGAAAAAUGGAAAUAUUAAGUCAAUAAAAU
rnacentral:lncRNA from 1 species